rnacentral:ncRNA from 10 species
UGAGGUAGUAGGUUGUAUAGUA